rnacentral:rRNA from 1 species
CACUCCUGCGGGAGGCAGCAGUGGGGAAUAUUGCACAAUGGGCGCAAGCCUGAUGCAGCCAUGCCGCGUGUAUGAAGAAGGCCUUCGGGUUGUAAAGUACUUUCAGCGGGGAGGAAGGCGAUAAGGUUAAUAACCUUGUCGAUUGACGUUACCCGCAGAAGAAGCACCGGCUAACUCCGUGCCAGCAGCCGCGGUAAUACGGAGGGUGCAAGCGUUAAUCGGAAUUACUGGGCGUAAAGCGCACGCAGGCGGUCUGUCAAGUCGGAUGUGAAAUCCCCGGGCUCAACCUGGGAACUGCAUUCGAAACUGGCAGGCUAGAGUCUUGUAGAGGGGGGUAGAAUUCCAGGUGUAGCGGUGAAAUGCGUAGAGAUCUGGAGGAAUACCGGUGGCGAAGGCGGCCCCCUGGACAAAGACUGACGCUCAGGUGCGAAAGCGUGGGGAGCAAACAGGAUUAGAAACCCUGGUAGUCC